AUUCCAAAAAGCGUGACGGUCUGUUAACUUGUUAAACAUGGCUGCUUUAUUUACUAUUCCGUGUAUGUAAGUAAUCUGUGAUGCGUGAUUUCAUCUGUCCCGCUCUUGAAGUUAAGUUCUUGAACGUGGAUAUUCAUCCGCUAAAUAAACGGUUUAGUAUGCGUAAUAAUUUAAUUCACACUUCUCUUUACAUUAUCUUAUGGUCUCAGAAAAUAAAACUAUACGACUUAACAUGGAUGGAAAAUAUUAGACAUUGUAUAUAUUGAUAUAUGAAGCGACAUAAUUAAAAUGAUUAGGUUCUUUCUUCCUUGGCGUAGAAACAUGGCGACUGGGAUGUAGACGUGCUGACCGGUGCUGACCAAGGUAGACGGCAUUUGAAAAGAAGCUGUCAGUUGUGAACUGUUGUGAAAUUUGAAUUGGUUGGUUAGAUUUGAAGUAUAAGGUGAGAUGGAUGCUUUAAGGGUCGCCUUCAACCUUCUUCCACUUGAAGAUCAAAUAGAUGAUCUUUCGGCCUGGAUAAAUGUCUUGAUAGACAAGAGGAAAAAUUUAAGGGUUCAGGCCAUUUUAACCUGUACACUGGAAGAAGCGAAAGUCCUUCUGAGAAUGAAAGUGCGAGAGCGACUACUAUGGCAGCUCUCUUACUUUUGAAGUAGUUUCUUUUUCAUUUCAGUCUUCCGGUUUGAAAUGGCAUGUUUGCCAAUUGGCGACGUUUGGUCCAAGGUGGCAAGCCAUGAUAAGAGUGACCUGAGGGAGAAGGCUGCAUUGUAAUCUUUGAAUCUACAGUUGUUACAGUGUAGAUAAUUCGGCAUGAUAGCCUUUGCAUCUAAGAAAUAUCGUUUUUCUUUCAGGCAAGGGUAACAAUAUGACUUUUUUAGACAGUAUUUCAACAGACCAAGUUUUAGAUGUUGGACAUUGUUAUCUCAAGUCAGUUCCUGGUACCCAGUCACACAUCUGUGCAUUGAUCAGUUUCCUUGGUUGGUUUUCUGAUGUCAGUUCUUUAUAUUCUAACAUGCAACACUAUGUUGUAUAAAAUUUAUUGAAAGUUACUUACUUUACAAGUUUAAAGAUCCAUCACUACAUGUUUUCAACCCAUAUGGUCAGGCAUUAAUAUUAUUGGUCAAGGAAACUGCUGUCUUCUCUGGUUGCCUUUGUUGUUAAUGUAUAAUUCCUCUCUGUGUGCAUGUGUGUAUAUAACGUGUACAUUUUCUAUCCGCAAUCGUGCGUAAAAUUUUAAUUUAGUAUUCAGUGCCAUGCAUAUUCUGAAAGGAUCUGUGUGAAGUUAAUUACUGUUUGUUUUAAUUAAUUUUCUCCUUUUUAAUAGAAUGAAGCUGGUAUUUGCAAUACUUGCCUUGAACAAGAUUUGUUGGUUGUGGGGCAGGUGGAAUGUGGACAGAAUAGUUUCUAUUUUCAGUUCAUGCAGAUAUUGUUGGCUUCCUGGUGGAUACAUGCAUUCAGCCCCUUGAACCUGAACAGUGUGUUGGUAUGGAAGUUUCCUUGCAGCCUUGAUUGGAUUGUAUAAUUGCCGCUGUUAACAGAAAGUGGAAUAGUGGAAGGGGUUAACAGCAGAGUUUGCCGUUAGUAGCGUCACUUUUUUGGCAACAAGUUUUCUUAUAGCUCAGCGGUGGUGGCGUAUGCAACAGUUCGUGGUGACGAUUGCCCUUUUUUAUCCUUCUCAAGAAUCUAUGGCAUUUGCUGAUAAGGGAUGAUGUGCGUUGUCUGAUCAGACUCUGGAUGCUAUGUGUUGGUACGUGGUGACUGCAAGAAAUCACAGAAAACACAGUGGAGCACCUUUUGUAAUGUAUUAAGUAGGUGUAUUUGAGUAAGAAAGUUGGAAUACAGGAAUACUUGGUAGUGUUCAUCAGUGUGACAUGUUGACCCCUACCUCCCCAGCGGUGCGUGGCGGUGGCGUAACGCUCGCGUUCUUACGGUAAUAG